GUUCAAUUUUGGAUAAUUUCGGUUAUGUUUAUUGAGGGGUACAAAUCAUGUCUUUCAGAAAUUGGGGGGACAUGUACCCUCCCCAUCCCCCUCUGAGCGCCGUGGAUGAGAGUGACGGGAGUAAAUCAAGACAGUGAAGUUGAGGCAAAUCCAAAACAACGAGCUAGAAGAUGCUGAAAUUCUGAACGGGCUUGUUGCACCUUUCCCAUACAGUUGAAUGGAGCGUUCACCUUCGCGUCCAGUCUGUUGCAGCUGAACUGUAGCCGCGGUCGAGGGAAUGAUUCAUCUGCUGCAACCGUGUGCUGCUAGCAAAAGAAAAAGAACCACUUCGAGUGUGAAGGCACAUACCAGAGAUCGCCAGCAGUCAGAGAUCUGAGGAGGUAACAGGACUCAGGAACAAACAUGAGUGUAUCCGAGGCAACCAUGGCUCGAUCUCCCACGAAGACACAUAAAUCUCAUUAUUAAAAAAACGUGUAUUUUGACUAUGUCGCACCUGUUUCAGAAGUCUUCAUAAAAGAAACAGAUGACAGAUCAGAAACCCAAAAAGUGGUAUUCAACAGAAGGCGCAGAUGCACAAGUUUACCCAAAUUAACCCGAGCCCAGAAUUCUUAACAAAACAAAUUUUGAAUCUCAAGCAUGUGCCGCUAGUCACUUUGAGUUCCUGCCAGUGGAAGCAAAUACUUUCAAAGUCCAACACAUUUGAAUUUUGUCUCUUCAGAAUGUACAGAUUGCAUUUUAUGUCGAAAAUUAAAAGUCUGUUGGGCAAAGGGAAAAUGUUGGCAGCUACUCUCAGGAGAGCUGCAAACAUUACUUCAGAAGAAGGACGACUCGUGACUUCAGGGAGUCCCUGUCCUUGAGUGUGUUGGCAUCUGAAAGAUUUAUUCAGUGAAGAUGAAUAUGCUACUCUAAACAUCCAUCUCUAAAUUUGACACUUUGGUAUAAAGAGGUAAUUCACUGGGAAAGUCUGUGGCACUGAGACCUGAAUCGCACAACUGACGGUCAGUGUCUGGCUCAAGCGUCAGGAGUAAGAGCUUACUUAAAGCAACUACAUCAUACUGACGAUCAGCUUAGGCACACAUUUUCUGCUUCUGCCUUCACCACAACGUGACCAACUGCACGUCCUGAGUCAGAGUUCUUAAUAUUGAAUCACAAUAACCUUUCCUGAACCUUAACAAAGUGUCAGUUGCUUAACCUCAACUAGACUUUGUUGAC